GUAGGUGGCAAGCGUUGUCCGGAAUUAUUGGGCGUAAAGCGCGCGCAGGCGGUCCUUUAAGUCUGAUGUGAAAGCCCACGGCUCAACCGUGGAGGGUCAUUGGAAACUGGGGGACUUGAGUACAGAAGAGGAAAGCGGAAUUCCAAGUGUAGCGGUGAAAUGCGUAGAGAUUUGGAGGAACACCAGUGGCGAAGGCGGCUUUCUGGUCUGUAACUGACGCUGAGGCGCGAAAGCGUGGGGAGCAAACAGGGAUUAGGUACCCUGGUAGUCCACGCCGUAAACGAUGAGUGCUAAGUGUUAGGGGGUUUCCCGCCCCCCUUAGUGCUGCAGCUAACGCAUUAAGCACUCCGCCUGGGGAGUACGGCCGCAAGGCUG
rnacentral:rRNA from 1 species